rnacentral:sRNA from 1 species
GUACUGGAAUAGGAGGAACCAAAAUCAGCUCCGUCAAUCCUUACACGGUGUUGGAGUCAUCGAUCUACAAAGCUUUUACGUCGGAGUUUAUUAGACAAGCAGCGGCGAGGAGCAUCAAGAGAGUAGCGUCGGUGAAACCGUUCGGCGCGUGUUUCAGCACGAAGAACGUUGGCGUCACGCGCC